rnacentral:rRNA from 1 species
UGCAUAGCCGACCUGAGAGGGUGAUCGGCCACACUGGGACUGAGACACGGCCCAGACUCCUACGGGAGGCAGCAGUAGGGAAUCUUCGGCAAUGGACGAAAGUCUGACCGAGCAACGCCGCGUGAGUGAAGAAGGUUUUCGGAUCGUAAAACUCUGUUGUUAGAGAAGAACAAGGACGUUAGUAACUGAACGUCCCCUGACGGUAUCUAACCAGAAAGCCACGGCUAACUACGUGCCAGCAGCCGCGGUAAUACGUAGGUGGCAAGCGUUGUCCGGAUUUAUUGGGCGUAAAGCGAGCGCAGGCGGUUUCUUAAGU